GCCCUUGUAGUUCAAUGGAUAGAACAACCCCGUCCUAAGGGGUAGAUGUGGGUUCGACUCCUACCAGGGGCACAA
rnacentral:tRNA from 1 species